ACUGGAACUUGGUUUGACUUUUCCUGUGUUUUGAAAUUAGCUCUUCUCAUGAGGAUCCCCUUCAAAGCAAGAAUUAAGACAGGAACGUCUACACAAUUACAGAUGUUGUGAGCAUCAAGAAUGCCAUCAGGGGAGAUUCCAGGAGGUGAAUCAUCACGUCAGUCAGAAAGAAACCAUAAUCCCUGGGAUGAAAGACUCUUGGUCGAGAGUCAGUUUUUUGGCAAAACUUCAUUAUGGUUCUUGAAAACUGGAAAACUAAAAACAACUUGUGUAAAUGUGUUGCAUAUUUGACUAUUUUGACCUGCCUAGAGCUUUCUGAAUGAACCUAUGCCAGAAUACAACGAUAUUGACCUAUUAAAAACACAAACUUUUAUGCUGCAUGCUGCUGAAUUUCAAUGCAUUUAAAAGUGGAUGCUUCUCACUCUACUUUCGUUGUGUUAAAAGUGAUGGCUAACUUUUUUCUUUUUUUUGAGGAAGAUCAGCCCUGAGCUAACUACUGCCAAUCUUCCUCUUUUUUUGCUGAGGAAGACUGGCCCUGAGCUAACAUCCAUGGCCAUCUUCCUCUAUUUUAUACGUGGGACACCUACCACAGCAUGGCUUUUGCCAAGUGGUCCCACGUCCGCGCCUGGGAUCCGAACCAGCAAAUCCCAGGGCACCGAGAAGCGGAACGUGCGAACUUAACUGCUGCACCACCAGGCCAGCCCCCAUGGCUAACUUUUUUAAGAUCAAAACUAAAGCUCAAAGAUUUCUAGUAGCAAAGGACCCUGGAUCCCUUUUUCCAGAAUCAUCCUUAAUCCCAGGGGAGAAAAGAAGGGCCCCUGACCUGGGCAGUCACAUCAGAGGGACUUCUCUAGCCCUCCACCAGCCAUGCCCUUCACAGAAGACAAACAAAGGUACGCACACAGAGGCCAACCAACCCCUCUCCAGAUCACACCCAGAGAAGCCAUCCACUGGGGACCGGGAGCGCACACCCCUGCAGUGAUGUGAUGUGACAGCAAGGAUGGCUUUCACCACAAGAGCAGCGGAGAAAAUUGGACAAGAGGAACCCUGGGAGGCCGGGGUUAUCUAAACACAGCAAGUCACCCGAUAUGUCAAAGAGGCAAAAAGGAAGACCUUCUCUGUGAUUUCUGUGACAGGGGAACUUAUUGUUCAACCCAACUGAGAAAACAGAUGUGGUCACGUUUCUCUGCAUAAAGGAACUUACAUAGAGGAUAUGAGGCUAGUAAGAGGUGCCAGACGUGAGAAUAAACAUUGAAACACCUAUCUUGCGGAGGGGACAGUGAUCCCUUGGCGGUCCCUUGGCUGUCCGCUGAAACUUUUUGUUAUACGAAUUUGAGAGGUUACAAAAAGGACGUGAGAUGCAUGGAAUUCAUUAACAACUAUCUGUGAAAGAAUAUCCUAAUUAGCAUAACUCCAUGCUACAAGCCUGAAUCAGCAUGCCAGAGGAGAGGGCCUGAACAGAGGGGGGUAAACCUUAUGAACUGAAAGAAAAUAAGGCAGUCUAGAGGAGCGAAAACAAAUAGGUGGAUGGUUCUCCCACGAGAUUUAAAAUUCAACAGGACUGUGGCACGUUCCCUCUUAAUGACUGUGAAAUUGAUUGGGAUAUAGGCUAAUAGAGGUCCCAGGAGUGCUAAACUAAAUUAGAGGAAGUCCUAUAAUUACAGCUAGCAGUUAAUUAUUCUAUGAUGGGAAUGGUAAUCAACGGAACAGACACACUGUGAUUUUCCAUCUUCCCUGCAAAACAUCCCUCACCAAGUCUCUUAAGAGUAGUAGAGCGGCCAGUUUUGUGGUUCAACUUACUGUGGCUUCCUAGUGCACCCAAAUAAAAUCCAAACCAGGGCCUCCUGCAGGUGAUUUGGCCUGCGGCCUCAUUCCUGGCUCUUGCCUGCCUUUCCCACAUGAGCCUCUUGUGGUUCUUCAACACAUGCCUCGUUCUCUCUGCCUGGAAUGCUCUCUCCCCAGAUUUCCACCAGGCUCGCUCCCUGCCUCUGUGCAGACAUCAAGAUGGCGGCUCCUUAGAGAAGCAUUCGCGGUCCAUUCUAUCUAAUAGAGAUACACCGCAUCCCUCGACGCCACUUUACUCUUCUUCAUGCCAUUAUUGUCCCCUGACACUUGUUCUUGAUAAUCUGCCUCCCCUGAAACUCCAUGGGAGCAGUGACUUGGUCCGUCUUAUUCCCAUUGUACCUUUUAGCUCCCAGAAUACAGCCUGGCUCUGAGUUGGUCC
rnacentral:lncRNA from 1 species